rnacentral:lncRNA from 1 species
AGUCUAAUUUACCCAUAAAAUUUCAAGAACUUAGAGGUAUAAAUGCUCAAAAAAGAACUUUGAGUUAUAUUUAGCAAGACUAAAAUUACGAAAUCCACAUUUACGUGAUAAUUUGAGGACGAUAAUCAGUACCAAAGGAUGUAGAGAAAAAAUUUAAGAUACAGAAAAAUGGUGAAAGGGUUUCAUAAGGUUGAUUUUCAUGAUGGCCUAUUUUCAUCGUUCUGGUUUGAUAAAUGGCAGAGUCUUGGAAGGAUUCAUGAGAUCACCCGUAGAAGAGGAUAUAUUGAUUUCUUGAAUCCCAUCAAACACAA